UCCGUUUUCCCUAGGACAAGCAGGUUCCGCCUUCGCCCGUCCUCUCCUCCUUCCCACCCCCACACUGGCCGGGAGGGGGGCGCCGCGCACAGGGGAGCGGAGGACAGGGUUCACCCUGCUAAAAACCAUUAAUCAUCCGGAGGUCGCCAGCCCCGAAUCCGUUUCCUCCUCGAAGGCCGUCCUGCGGGCGAUCUGUCUCCUCGCGGGCUCUGUAACGGCCGAGUUGUAAAGAAUUCCUGAUGAAUUAUUGUUGGCACUCAGUCCGAAGCGCGAAGGCUCAGGCCCACAGAAGGAAAAGCAAGCCCUCUCUCUGGCUGCGCCUCGUGGCUACGGCCGGACUCGGGAAGGGUUUCUGGGCUGCGGUGAGGAAUGGGGUGUUUCAGAGCAGGUCACCCCGAAGGCUGCGCACCCGCACAGCGCACAUCUGAAUUAGGGCAGGCUUCAUGUUCCCAUUCGACAGAUAAGGCUGGGUCUACGACACGCAAGCUCCAGAGGAACCCAGCUACUCUGUGGCAGAGCUGGGAUGAACACUCAGGUCUCCAAACUACCAGCUGUUUCCCCUGCCUCCCACACGCUGUCCUCCUUGGCCUGAUGGCCCUAAUGAAGGGGCUCAGCUCACCGACUGCAGCCUCAUUUACGGCCCUUACCCCACUCCUGCUGCCUGCACUGCUCCGCUCCCAGCCCUCGCACCUGCUUCCUUCCGGUCACCCAAGGCCAAGGCACAGACCUAAUCACCCGUGUGUUCCACUCCCAGUCUUGGCCUCUGAUGAUGGGAAAUCCUUUGAGUGGGGGACCAGGACUCCUUUGUUCGUCAGGCAGCUGUAGUUAAGAGCUCAUGCCAUGACCAGAGCACCUUCACUCCUCGAUCUGAAAAUCUAAGACCCUCUGAGGACCACUAUGAAGAUGAAGGGGUGGGUGUGCAUAGUUUUCUAGCAUAUAGAAGAUUCCAAACCUGUGGGAUUAUUAUAUGAUUUUCUUUCUCACAUUGACAUACCACCAGGCAGUAAAGGUUUGGUAAACUUAAAAGUGCAUUAACAACUGAAUAUGGAUGCUGCACUCACUGAGCAAUCAAGAAACCUUUACUCAUCAUUACUACGCACCCAAAAUUGGGGGUACCCAAGAGACAGAAGUAGAAGAAAUGCACAAUUCUUACUGUCAAGGAUUUUGCCACCUGACGAUAAAGAUAAAUGUCAUUUUUCAUGCGUAAGUACCUAACACAGCUUUCCAGAAUAAGCUUCCGAGCAUAUUGCAGAGGUCAGGCCCUACCACCUUCAUGGGUUAUCUCACCUGAUCGAGUUCUCAGUCGUCAGGGACCUCAAAUUGAUGCUUUGAAGGAGGGAGGGAAAAUCAAGCGAGCUUCUGCACUGUGGAAGGUUUUGACUCGCGUGAAAAUUUCCCUUAAUUGUUUUAAUAUUCCAUGAGCUUCCCUGAAUGAAUCAAACAAGACAAAAUGGAAAGAUGAGAAAAGGAAAAAUAAGCCCUGGAAACAGGAUGCACCACAAGUUUAACUCCUUUAUCAACAUUAACUCAUUUAAUCCCAAGCCUACAGCUCUAAAGCAGGUACAGCUUUUCCCUGGCCAAGUGCUGAAUUCACCACCUUGCUCCUUUCCAGACCGUCAGAGGGCUUUAGAAGGAGCUUGCAGGAGUUUGCCCUCUGACCUGCUAAGGAACAAAACAGGCUUUGGCCAAUCACACAGGAAGAUGCCCUGCUGACCUGGCCAGCUAUUGCGAUUCUGUGCCUUUCACCAUCGGUGUCCCUACAGAAGAAAACACAAGUAUACCAUUGAGUACCUUCUAAUAACCAUUUCAUUACACUUUUUAUAUUUAUGAAGGGCACUGGGAGAAGCUUUUAUUAUUCCUCUAAUGCAAAGCAGCUGGGCCUGACAGAGGUAAAGGGGUCUUUCUGGGUGUGGCCCUGAAAAUUUGUGUUUUCCCGGAAGGUUUUGAACCGGGGCCAAACCAGAUGCAGAAGUUCCCAUCCAACUCCGUGUGGACACAUGACUUUCAUUAACAAAAUUGCAUUGCUCUUUUCUGCAGAAAGUGGUACCAUUACUAUAAUAAAAACAUGUCCAUUAUGGAUCCAUUGCCACCUACGUAGUAGUGAGGAGGAAUCAGGAGGGAGAGGGCAGGGACUGCAGAGAACAAAGAAGGGCUGAGCUUGCAGAGGGAAAGUGUAGCCACAGCGCUCCUCCCCAGGCUUGGGCUGUCAGACCUGGACGGAUCGGAUUAGUACCUUCAGCAUGAACAGCCUGGGCUAAUCCCCACACACAGGAGCUGGCCUCAGGGAGCUUCUUCGAAUCAUAAACCAGCCCAUCCCCUGCAGACCCCUGGUCACCAAAGACCAGGACAAGCACCAUCAGCUGACCUCCCCCAGGCCUACUCUGUGGGCUCCACUUGGACUCUGUCAUUUAGUUCCUGACUUUGCUUUCUUCUUCCACCCACAUAAAUGCCCAUCCUCAUGCUCACUUUUUAAAUGUAGUUUGGAUGUCUUGGCCUGGCCAUCAUCACAGUCACAGUCUGUACUGCCCUCUGGUUCAAACCUGGUAUGCUCGGGGAAGCCCUGCCUGAGCGCUGUCUGCUCC
rnacentral:lncRNA from 1 species